rnacentral:rRNA from 1 species
UGAACGCUGGCGGCAUGCCUUACACAUGCAAGUCGAACGGUAGAGUAGCAAUACUUGAGAGUGGCGAACGGGUGAGUAAUAUAUCGGAGCGUGCCCAACUGUGGGGGAUAACGUAGAGAAAUUUACGCUAAUACCGCAUACGAUCUAAGGAUGAAAGCGGGGGAUCGCAAGACCUCGCGCAGUUGGAGCGGCUGAUAUCAGAUUAGCUUGUUGGUGAGGUAAAAGCUCACCAAGGCGACGAUCUGUAGCUGGUUUGAGAGAACGACCAGCCACACUGGGACUGAGACACGGCCCAGACUCCUACGGGAGGCAGCAGUGGGGAAUUUUGGACAAUGGGCGAAAGCCUGAUCCAGCAAUGCCGCGUGCAGGAAGAAGGCCUUCGGGUUGUAAACUGCUUUUGUACGGAACGAAACGGUCCGCUUUAAUACAGUGGGCUAAUGACGGUACCGUAAGAAUAAGCACCGGCUAACUACGUGCCAGCAGCCGCGGUAAUACGUAGGGUGCGAGCGUUAAUCGGAAUUACUGGGCGUAAAGCGUGCGCAGGCGGUUAUAUAAGACAGUUGUGAAAUCCCCGGGCUCAACCUGGGAAUUGCAUCUGUGACUGUAUAGCUAGAGUACGGUAGAGGGGGAUGGAAUUCCGCGUGUAGCAGUGA